rnacentral:rRNA from 1 species
UACGGGGGGGGGCAAGCGUUGUUCGGAAUUACUGGGCGUAAAGGGCUCGUAGGCGGCCAACUAAGUCAGACGUGAAAUCCCCUCGGCUUAACCGGGGAACUGCGUCUGAUACUGGAUGGCUCGAGUCCGGUAGGGGAGUGUGGAAUUCCCGGUGUAGCGGUGAAAUGCGCAGAUAUCGGGAGGAACACCAGUAGCGAAGGCGGCACUCUGGGCCGGUACUGACGCUGAGGAGCGAAAGCGUGGGGAGCGAACAGG